UGGACCCAAAAACAGGUGAGUUGGACUCUCAAAAGGCAAAAAUAUGUGAUCGGGACACCCUUAUUAAGUAAUGCACGAAUGCAAAUACAGUAUAAAUCCUCAUCCUCCAACUUCUUAGCCGACUAGCUCUGUCAUGGCGUUUCCCUAUGUAGGACUUUGAAGAUGUUGUUAUUCAGCAUGUCAUCACUCAAAACUGCAUGUUAUGCUAAUUAGCUGGUAUUCGUUAGCUGCAUUUUCGCAAGUUGUUACGAGAAAUGUGUCAAACCUCCAUAUAAAAACAAACAAACGCAAGCUUGAAUAUUACUGCAACACGGGUGUUUGUAAUGAGAUGUUUUAGGAGAAGUACUGCACAUCAACAACAUAACCAUAAAUAAUAAUAUUAAUAAUAAUAAUAAUAAUUGUUCCUACCUGUGUCACCGAGCUAGUCCGAACCGGCUGACCGCGAAACUAGCCAUCCAGCACAAUCACUAGCAGCUGCGGCUAACUGGGGAAAUCCCAUUCGAGCCCGCUUCAAAAGUCCCAACAUUUAGUCCUUCCAAACAAUGACGAAGGGACGGAAAUACGCCUCUUAUUGCCCAGUAGUGGCGUGGGAGUCAAAAACAGAAUAGUUAGGGUUGUUCUUCGUCGGGCUUCCCUCAAAAUGAACGGCAUGCUAGCUGCUCGGAGCUAACUGCUAGCCUAGCAGGCUCCUCUCCUCGUGACGGACCGCCCUCUGCCAGUGCCAGUCUGACCAGCUCCGACUCCGAGAUGAGAGACCCGGAAAGCGGCUUGUUGUUCAGAGAUGGAACCCGGGCGGGCGGAGAGUUUACUGGAAACAACUUACUCACUGUUUAUCUUCCUGCUCAAAGCAAUGAGGUCAACUUGAAGGUGUGUUGCAACUUUUCCCAGAUGACACCCUGGGCUGACUGACAGACUGCUUUGACGGCCACGCCAACAAUGCUGGCUACUACGCCAGCCUUGAGCUUCCCCAGGCCACCUGGUCCUACACCAACCCCUACGCCGACGGCAACAAGGAGAUCUUCAUCUACUUUGACCACCUUUGGAAGAACAUCUACAGCAGCUUCCACAACAACGGCUGUAUGGUGCUGCCCAGGU